CCGGUCGAUGCGCCUGGAUCGGCAGGAGCGGAGGACCCGAGCACGACGGGACCGGCGGCCACCGCGGCCGCACGGGCCCUUGGGGUGAAGUCGCCACCGCGACCGGGCAUCUUCGCCUGCCCGAACCCGACAGGUACUCCUUCGUCGGCGGCUGACGAAGGGUUG
rnacentral:sRNA from 2 species